AUGGCCGUGCCUUGCACACGCAGACCUGGGGGCUCUCCAGGCCCACGCUGUCACCCCCGGCCGUGGCUGCGCGCUCGGCCCGGCCGCAGGAGGCGGCGGGAGCUCCGCGCUGCCGCCGCCCCCGGCCCGGCCGCGCUUCCGCCCGCGUCAGCUGACUGUGCCCGGCAGCGGCCCGGCCCGGCCCGCGGAACCUCGGCGCGCCCAGCCCGCACCAUGGCGGGGGUCGUGGUGAGCGGAGCACAGGUGUCCUACAUUAGUCAGGACUGUGAAGAAAUUCCAGAAUUCCUGGGAAGAAAAUAUGGACAUAUGGCAAAAAGGCUAGAUCUUAGCUUCAACUUGUUAAGAAAAGUCCAAGAAAACUGCUGGCACUGACAGAAGAUGAAAAUAUGAUUUAUACUGAUACCAUGUAUAAUCCAAGCAAAUCUGUUUUGUGAAAGAUUCUUUUUAUGGUGUUGAAAUAAAGUAUCAGUGAAUUGUUCUUGAAGGAAUAUUGGUUCAGACUUUUCUUGCCUCUAUCGCCACUGCCCCACCCCUGCUUUUCCUCUUCUGCUUUGUCUUUGGGGAUCUUAAUAUUGAUGCUAGCUACAAAUGGUUGUUAAACAAAUUUUCUUCAGUCCUUAAGCGUAGCUGCUUUAUGUGGGUUGAUGUAAUGCAAGAAUAAUCUCUGCUCUGAGGCUAGGGGCCAUACCCAGCUAUAGCAGUGUUGAUACUGAUUUUCUUGCUCCCGCAUUUCAUUGCAAAUUCUGUUUAACGGUAGUCAAUUUUCUUUGCUGACAAACUGUAGCAGCAGCAUCUACUGAGUUGGGUUAGGUCUACUUAAAAGUUGGGUUGUUUUCAAACAGUAUUGUAUUUGUGGAUAUCUGACUUAGUUAAACUGAACUUUGACUAUAAAACACUGUGGAUACGACCAGUCAGUAUUUGUUGAGAUGAUGUUAUCUGCAGCAGCAGAGAAGAAAGCAGAUGAAUAAAAUACAGACAAUAGCCCAACAUUAAAUUGGUUAUAAAGAAACAUAACUGGAUAAAUUAGGUAGAUUACACUAGUUUUACAGAUAAUUCUAGGCAGUAAGGCUGAAAAGGAGGUGAGGGUGGGGUUAGUUAUGUGAGUGGCUGGAAAGAUGUGAUGACUUAGUGUAAAAGUCUUGGACUGUCACUUCAGCAAAAUUCUCCGUCCAAAAUCCAUAAUCUUGGCUGAGACACAGGGGGAGCUGGGACACUGAGCAUCUGUUGGGUGCUGGGGAAAUGAUUCCA
rnacentral:lncRNA from 1 species